rnacentral:misc_RNA from 1 species
CAGAGUUAUCCAACUCCCAAACCCACGUGAACUUAUCUCUUUGUUGCCUCGGCGCAAGCUACCCGGGACCUCGCGCCCCGGGCGGCCCGCCGGCGGACAAACCAAAACUCUUGUUAUCUUAGUUGAUUAUCUGAGUGUCUUAUUUAAUAAGUCA